GAUGAACGCUGGCGGCGUGCCUAAUACAUGCAAGUCGAGCGAACGGACGAGGAGCUUGCUCCUUUGACGUUAGCGGCGGACGGGUGAGUAACACGUAGGUAACCUACCUAUAAGACUGGGAUAACUUCGGGAAACCGGAGCUAAUACCGGAUAAUAUUUCGAACCGCAUGGUUCGAUAGUGAAAGAUGGCUUUGCUAUCACUUAUAGAUGGACCUGCGCCGUAUUAGCUAGUUGGUAAGGUAACGGCUUACCAAGGCAACGAUGCAUAGCCGACCUGAGAGGGUGAUCGGCCACACUGGAACUGAGACACGGUCCAGACUCCUACGGGAGGCAGCAGUAGGGAAUCUUCCGCAAUGGGCGAAAGCCUGACGGAGCAACGCCGCGUGAGUGAUGAAGGUCUUCGGAUCGUAAAACUCUGUUAUUAGGGAAGAACAAACGUGUAAGUAACUGUGCACGUCUUGACGGUACCUAAUCAGAAAGCCACGGCUAACUACGUG
rnacentral:rRNA from 1 species